UACAGGAAGCUGCAGCAUCAGUAGCAACAAAUGGAGAGAUGAGAGUUCUCAGCAUGUGGUAGCCCUACUGGCUUAGAUUUAAGAGACCCUUAUGCUCUCCAGCAUGAGCAAGGAUGUUUGGAGAUACAACCCAGGACAUAUUGUGGAGAAGGAAACUAGAGUAACAAGCUAACUUGCAGCAAGCCAAUAAGCUCCAAGGUAGGAGACUGAUGGGUUUGCAACUUCUUGAUGUGAAAAGGCACAAUCACUACCGUGUGAAGGAGUUUGGGGCAAGAUGGAUUGGGUGGGCUGGUGUUAAUGUGCCAGAUGAGGCUGGACAGAGGGCACUUACUAAAGCUUGGCUGAAAAGGUUCAGAGUUUCAGCUACAAUCUUUGCACCCUUGUUUAGUCUUGGGACAUUGAUAGUUGAUAUUUUAUUUUGAAUCAUGAAGAAUUCUUGUGAGCAUCAUUAAAUUCCUGUUUUUAUUUAUUUGUUCACCAAUGUUAUAAUGGCUAUUUCAACAACAUAUUAUUGCCUCUUUUUCAUUGUCUUGGACUUCCGCAAGAAGAUCGUCUCGCCACUACCCAGAAGUUUUCAGUCUCAGUUCGCUGCAUAUGUGAAAGCAAGUGUAAUGUUUGCUGCCAUGGUAAACCAGCAUUACCAGGAGGGUGAUGUUGUUUGGUGCCAUGACUACCACCUCAUGUUCCUUCCAAAAUGCCUGAAGGAGGACAACAGUGAUAUGAAAGUUGGUUGGUUUCUCCACACCUUUUCCUUCUUCAGAAAUCCACAAGACACUGCCAUCUUGAUCAAAGCUUCUGCAUGCUGUUCUUGCUUCUGACUUGGUUGGAUUAGAUUGGGGUGACAUUUUUGGCGUGCAACAAUGAUGUAGUUUGUUUGAAUGUUCAUUUUUUGUUUGAUAAAGAUACACAUACUUUGUAGAGUUGCACUAGUUAUUGUUGGAUGUUUGGUGGAAUUGAACAAUUACAACUUUUGGAUAUUUUGUGGAUAUUUCACUAUUUUAUUGUAUUAGGAUGAAAUUAUUUGUAAUGAUGAAUGGAUAUUUUCAUUUUGUUAAUUCGUAA